AUUGAACGCUGGCGGCAGGCCUAACACAUGCAAGUCGAACGAGUGGCGGACGGGUGAGUAAUGUCUGGGAAACUGCCUGAUGGAGGGGGAUAACUACUGGAAACGGUUGCUAAUACCGCAUACCCUCUUCUUUCCCCAGAUGGGAUUAGCUAGUAGCUUGGGUAAAGGCUCACCUAGGCGACGAUCCCUACCUGGUCUGAGAGGAUGACCAGCCACACUGGAACUGAGACACGGUCCAGACUCCUACGGGAGGCAGCAGUGGGGAAUAUUGCACAACGGGCGCAAGCCGGAUGCAGCCAUGCCGCGUGUAUGAAGAAGGCCUUCGGGUUGUAAAGUACUUUCAGCGGGGAGGCGGGAACCGAAGAAGAAGCACCGGCUAACUCCGUGCCAGCAGCCGCGGUAAUUG
rnacentral:rRNA from 1 species